AGCACUCCAUAUCAAACUGAGGUUCAGCUAUUUCAGUGGAGCUAAUUGAGCAAUGCCUGAUCAGCAUUAUCUGGGACCCGACAAUUCAUUUGGAUGGAGACAACAAACAGAGUCGAAGGCAAGCUCAAAAUAACCUGCUUCUUUCAAGCUGCCAAUCUUGCGUACAUACGGUCUCGGGAACUGCUUCCUGUCGCUGGUUCUUGCUAAAUCAGUCAGGCUUGGAGGCUCACGAAUAGGAUUGCACCUCGGGGAAGCAGGGAGACCGUGCUUUGUCCGGGCUGAUCCUCGGCGAGAUUGAGGGAGGGCAUCAAUUUUUUUAUUUUUUAUUUUUGAUUGAAAGGUAGGACAUCUUGAACACCAUUGUUUGUGCUACUGACUGCAGCAGAUAUGGUCACGCUAGAAAUGAAAGCUUUGGACUUGCACAGUCGUCGCAUUGGAGUCAACGCACUGACUUUUGGGCCAGGAAACUCUGCUCCGCAGCAGCUUUCAUGGAAUUUAGAAAUCAAAUUUUGAUUUUGGCGGACAAGAAAUAGGAAACAGUCUAGGUUCACUGAGGGGCACAUUUCUGAAUCUUCGGAUCCUCCGAGAAUCCUUUUCCGACAACUGCCACCGAUUCUCAUGUCUUUGGAUUUCCACUGUUCGUCUCUCUCACCUCCAAGCUCCCGCCUCUACUUCGCUCCCAUCACCAGAACACUCAGCGCAGGCACGGCACCUCACUGCUCUGGCGCCAUUACAUACUUCUCUUGCUGUCUCGUCCGUGUUUGAGCUCAACGACCUUGCAGGAAUGGUCCAUGGAGUGGCUGUGAAGAUGGGUUUUGAAGCAGACGUGUAUUCCUGCAACCCCACGAUCGAUGCUUAGUGUAAAUGCGGAGGGACUCAUUGUGCAGCUAACGCGUUUACGACAAUGCCUCACAUAGAUUCGGUUUCUUGGACCUCCAUGAUUUGGCUCAGUGGAGGAAGUUCUGCAAUGGCUAUUGGGUUGUUCAAUGCAAUGAGGACUGAGUUCGAUCCAGAAGCCGUUGCAAUGAUGAUCUUAUUGCAGAGAUGCUGUCCCUCGGAGAGGUCAAUUCUGGGCAGGCAACUUCAUGGCCUUUUUGAUGAAGAGUGGAUUAUUAUCAGACAUUUGACCGGAACUCAGUUCUGAGAAUGUGCACCGGAGGUUGGGAACUCAAGGAAGUUGAAAAUGUUCUCUUACGAGCUUGACGAGAAGGAUACAUUUUCAUGGAAUAUUUUGAUAUCAUUCUAUACCUCUAGACGAUAUACUCAUAGAGUCACUCAUAUAUCUUGACAAGUGAUCUCGAAGCCUCCUGCCCUCCAGCUAAAUAAGAAACAUUUUGAGCUCUUCA